rnacentral:rRNA from 1 species
CCGUUGAGGAAAGUUGAAAAGAACUUUGAAGAGAGAGUUCAAGAGUACGUGAAACCGUUCAGGGGUAAACCUGAGAAACCCAAAAGAUCGAAUGGGGAGAUUCAUCGUCAGCUGCGAUAGCUUUCGUGUGGUGCGCGAUGCUCGGGGUCUCGGCCCUGUGGCACGCGUCCACUGCGGUAUGUCUGUUGUAGUCGGCGUGCACUUCUCCCCUAGUAGGACGUCGCGACCCGUUGGGUGCUGGCCUACGGUCUGGUUUGUUGACUGUCGCGUCGCGUUCACGCGUGCACGCGCCAGACGACUUGUUGCCUGGCCGGCUGCCCGGCGGUAGAAAAUUUUUUAAAAACGGUAUCGGGCCGCACUAAGUGCGUUCUGGCUCGUCGGCAGGCUCGCCUCGCUCGGAUUUUACGGACCCAGUCCCGUUGUCGGGUGCUUGGCGUGGCUGCUAGUCGACGAUGUCCUCGAACAGGCCUUUUAUAUUCGAACGGAUAUACCGGUCGGCGACGCUACUGCUUUGGGUACUUUCAGGACCCGUCUUG